CCGGGACCCGGGACCGGGGACCCGGAAGAGCAGGAGCCAAAGCCGAAUCCGGCGCUCUUGCUGUUCCGGGUCCCGGGUCCCGGGUCCCGG
rnacentral:miRNA from 1 species